rnacentral:rRNA from 1 species
UUGGAGGGCAAGUCUGGUGCCAGCAGCCGCGGUAAUUCCAGCUCCAAUAGCGUAUAUUAAAGUUGUUGCAGUUAAAAAGCUCGUAGUUGAAUUUCGGGGUUAGUAGAUUGGUCAUGCCUCUGGUAUGUACUGGUCUCACUGAUUCCUCCUUCCUGAUGAUCCGUAAUGCCAUUAAUUUGGUGUUGCGGGGAAUUUGGACUGUCACUUUGAAAAAAUUAGAGUGUUUAAAGCAAGCUAACACUUGAAUACAUUAGCAUGGAAUAAUGAAAUAGGACGUUCGAUCCUAUUUUGUUGGUUUCUAGGAUUGACGUAAUGAUUAAUAGGGAUAGUUGGGGGCAUUAGUAUUCAAUUGUCAGAGGUGAAAUUCUUGGAUUUAUUGAAGACUAACUACUGCGAAAGCAUUUGCCAAGGAUGUUUUCAUUAAUCAAGAACGAAAGUUAGGGGGUCGAAGACGAUCAGUUACCGUCGUAGUCUUAACCAUAAACUAUGCCGACUAGGGAUCGGAUGAUGUUAAUUUUUUAAUGACUCAUUCGGCGCCUUACGGGAAACCAAAGUGUUUGGGUUC